GGAAGGCUUUGCGUACGCUAGCUGUGUGGAACUGACGCCCAGUACAGAGAAGGCGUGUGAUGGAGCAGCAACCCAGGCUACCAUGGCAACAAAUUCGUUGGCCAAAGCCAAGGCUGACUGUGCGUAUGCUGGUACCACGGCCGUCAAGUCCUCCGUUGCCAUAAUGGUCGCGGCUCUGUUUCUGUCGUACCUCAAGUUUUAGUUCCCAUGUUCUUGUGACAAUUAGCCAAGUGCGACCCUGACAGUUGUCGUACCCUCGCGGUUUGAAGAUGUGCCUACUCGGCGUCGAUUGAUUAUUGUAAAGUAGACUCUCUGUAAUGGAUAUAUGACGUGAAAGGAAUUCACCGAAUCAUAUCACCCAUGUCUGUCUCAGUUUCUUUUUUAAAGACAUAUUUUUGUGCUUCUGGUAAUAAAGUAAUGAAUAGAA